GGGCUGGUAGCUCAGAGUCCCUGACGACGACGAGAAGCUUGGCUAGAGCACUCGACUGAUAAUCGAGAGGUCAAGGGUUCGAAUCCCUUCCAGCCCA
rnacentral:tRNA from 2 species